rnacentral:rRNA from 1 species
CACGCAGGCGGUCGGAUAAGUCAGAUGUGAAAGCCCCGGGCUCAACCUGGGAACUGCAUUUGAAACUGUCCGACUAGAGUCUUGUAGAGGGGGGUAGAAUUCCAGGUGUAGCGGUGAAAUGCGUAGAGAUCUGGAGGAAUACCGGUGGCGAAGGCGGCCCCCUGGACAAAGACUGGCGCUCAGGUGCGAAAGCGUGGGGAGCAAACA